rnacentral:rRNA from 1 species
UACGGCGAGUGAGCGGCAAAAGCUCAAAUUUGAAAUCUGGUACCUUCGGUGCCCGAGUUGUAAUUUGGAGAGGGCAACUUUGGGGCCGUUCCUUGUCUAUGUUCCUUGGAACAGGACGUCAUAGAGGGUGAGAAUCCCGUGUGGCGAGGAGUGCGGUUCUUUGUAAAGUGCCUUCGAAGAGUCGAGUUGUUUGGGAAUGCAGCUCUAAGUGGGUGGUAAAUUCCAUCUAAAGCUAAAUAUUGGCGAGAGACCGAUAGCGAACAAGUACAGUGAUGGAAAGAUGAAAAGAACUUUGAAAAGAGAGUGAAAAAGUACGUGAAAUUGUUGAAAGGGAAGGGCAUUUGAUCAGACAUGGUGUUUUGUGCCCUCUGCUCCUUGUGGGUAGGGGAAUCUCGCAUUUCACUGGGCCAGCAUCAGUUUUGGUGGCAGGAUAAAUCCAUAGGAAUGUAGCUUGCCUCGGUAAGUAUUAUAGCCUGUGGGAAUACUGCCAGCUGGGACUGAGGACUGCGACGUAAGUCAAGGAUGCUGGCAUAAUGGUUAUAUGCCGCCCGUCUUGA